UUUUAGUGCCUUUUUAAGGAACACACAUGCAUACAAAGGGUAGUCCUUUUCAUAUCCCCAAUUUUUCACAUCUCCAUUAUCAUUUCAUUAUUCAUUUCUGUCUUACAUAAUCUGCAGCUUAGUCAAUUCUUUUGGUUUUAAGGUGGGAAGACCUGCCUGUGUCUGUAUCCCUGGGGCUCCUCUAAACCUGCCGGUUUGUGAGAUGAUUUCAUGGUUUCUUUUACAUGGAUCAAAUGUCUACCCUACAAAGAACUGGAUGGAGUUAACAGCUGAGCAAAGAUUAGAGAGGAACCUACUUUCAUUUGGGAAAAACAGGACCAUACCAUGUGUACAAGACAGAAAUUUCUACAGAUGCUUUAUGAAAGAAAAAAUAUCUUACCAAAGUUACUACUGCACAUUCAGCAGUUAGCAGUGCGGCACUAAAAAGAGUACGAACAAAUCUGUAAAUGAAUUCGUGUUCAGGAUCAUG